AUCAAGCUGACGAACCCAAAAUAGGACGAAACGCACGUCCUGGAU
rfam:Schistosoma mattheei strain Denwood, Zambia genome assembly, scaffold: SMTD_scaffold0003147